GCGUAAAGCGCACGCAGGCGGUCUGUUAAGUCAGAUGUGAAAUCCCCGGGCUUAACCUGGGAACUGCAUUUGAAACUGGCAGGCUUGAGUCUCGUAGAGGGGGGUAGAAUUCCAGGUGUAGCGGUGAAAUGCGUAGAGAUCUGGAGGAAUACCGGUGGCGAAGGCGGCCCCCUGGACGAAGACUGACGCUCAGGUGCGAAAGCGUGGGGAGCAAACAGGAUUAGAUACCCUGGUAGUCCACGCCGUAAACGAUGUCUACUUGGAGGUUGUGCCCUUGAGGCGUGGCUUCCGGAGCUAACGCGUUAAGUCCACCGCCUGGGGAGUACGGCCGCAAGGUUAAAACUCAAAUGAAUUGACGGGGGCCCGCACAAGCGGUGGAGCAUGUGGUUUAAUUCGAUGCAACGCGAAAAACCUUACCUGGGCUUGACAUCCAGAGGACUUAGCAGAGAUGCUUUGGUGCCUUCGGGAACUCUGAGACAGGUGCUGCAUGGCUGUCGUCAGCUCGUGUUGUGAAAUGUUGGGUUAAGUCCCGCAACGAGCGCAACCCUUAUCCUUUGUUGC
rnacentral:rRNA from 1 species